rnacentral:rRNA from 1 species
AUUGAACGCUGGCGGCAGGCCUAACACAUGCAAGUCGAACGGUAACAGGAAGAAGCUUGCUUCUUUGCUGACGAGUGGCGGACGGGUGAGUAAUGUCUGGGAAACUGCCUGAUGGAGGGGGAUAACUACUGGAAACGGUAGCUAAUACCGCAUAACGUCGCAAGACCAAAGAGGGGGACCUUCGGGCCUCUUGCCAUCGGAUGUGCCCAGAUGGGAUUAGCUAGUAGGUGGGGUAACGGCUCACCUAGGCGACGAUCCCUAGCUGGUCUGAGAGGAUGACCAGCCACACUGGAACUGAGACACGGUCCAGACUCCUACGGGAGGCAGCAGUGGGGAAUAUUUCACAAUGGGCGCAAGCCUGAUGCAGCCAUGCCGCGUGUAUGAAGAAGGCCUUCGGGUUGUAAAGUACUUUCAGCGGGGAGGAAGGGAGUAAAGUUAAUACCUUUACUCAUUGACGUUACCCGCAGAAGAAGCACCGGCUAACUCCGUG